rnacentral:misc_RNA from 1 species
GAUGAAGAACGUAGCGAAAUGCGAUACUUGGUGUGAAUUGCAGAAUCCCGUGAACCAUCGAAUCUUUGAACGCAAGUUGCGCCCGAAGCCAUUAGGCCGAGGGCACGCCUGCCUGGGCGUCACACGUCGUUGCCCCCCCCAUCUACUCCUUCGGGAUUGCGGGGGGCGGAUGAUGGCCUCCCGUGCGCCUCGCCGCGCGGUUGGCAUAAAUGCCAAGUCCUCGGCGAUGCACGCCACGACAAUCGGUGGUUGCGAAACCUCGGUUGCCCGUCGUGUGCGGUCGUCGCGCAUCGAGGGCUCGAAAAAAUUGCCGGGUUCCGGCUCGGCUUUCAACGCGACCCCAGGUCAGGCGGGGUUACCCGCUGAAUUUAAGCAUAUCAAUAAGCGGAGGA